rnacentral:rRNA from 1 species
UCGAACGCGAAAGGGCGCUUUGGUGCCCGAGUAGAGUGGCGCACGGGUGAGUAACACGUAGACAACCUGCCUUCGGGUUCGGGAUAACCUUUCGAAAGAAGGGCUAAUACCGGAUAAGACUCUCGCUUCGCAUGGAGCGGGGUUAAAAGGGGUUUCCUGCCAGGAGAGGGGUCUGCGGGACAUUAGCUUGUUGGUGGGGUAACGGCCCACCAAGGCGAUGAUGUCUAGCGGGUCUGAGAGGAUGAUCCGCCACACUGGAACUGAGAUACGGUCCAGACUCCUACGGGAGGCAGCAGUGGGGAAUUUUGCGCAAUGGGCGAAAGCCUGACGCAGCAACGCCGCGUGGGUGAAGAAGGCCUUUGGGUCGUAAAGCCCUUUUCUGGGGAAAGAGCAAAGACGGUACCCCAGGAACAAGCACCGGCUAACUCCGUGCCAGCAGCCGCGGUAAUACGGAGGGUGCAAGCGUUGUUCGGAAUUACUGGGCGUAAAGGGCGUGUAGGCGGAUGUGCAAGCUGGGGGUGAAAGGCCAGGGCUCAACCCGGGACCAUCUCCCAGAACUGCCCAUCUAGAGAGAGUCAGAGGCAGGUGGAAUUCCUGGU